UCAACCUCCUGCUCCUGUGAUCAGUGGGGGUGUGGGGGGACAGUAUAGCAGAAGGCCUUGGCUCAGGUGGUUUUGACAGUGAACUGAACCAGUGAAACCAGAGGGAACUUGCCAUCGUGAUUCCCAUGGGAGUCCCAGACAGGUAACAGCUGAGUCUCCUACUUCUACAGUUCAACAUCACUGGUGCCUGCUUGAAUGACUCAGAUGACGACUCACCAGACUUGGACCUUGAUGGAGAUGAGAGCCCAUUGGCCCUAUUGAUGUCUAACGGCAGUACGAAAAGGGUGAAGAGUUUAUCCAAAUCUCGGCGAACCAAGAUAGCAAAGAAGGUAGACAAGGCUAGGCUGAUGGCAGAACAGGUGAUGGAAGACGAAUUUGACUUGGAUUCAGAUGAUGAGCUGCAGAUUGACGAGAGAUUGGGAAAGGAGAAGG
rnacentral:sRNA from 1 species